CUGUUGUUACUAAAUCCUUGAAUUCAUGCAGGAUCCCAAGGAUGAACCCACACACUUCCAUGUGCAUGAAAUCAUGCUCUUCCUUGUGACCCUGACCAGCAAGGCAGAAAGUUUCCACCAACUUCCCAUCUGGGUUUUCUUCGACGUUCUACUCCUCCUCUUAAAAAUCCUGCUGUUGGUAUCAGUUUGGAAGGAGAGAUCUCAUCACUACUGGGCUUCUAGAAGGCUCGUUCCCAGUCUCUAGCCUCAGUGAAUCUGCGUCUGCACAUGAGCUCUGGCCUCACCCCUUUGUCUCGACUCCUGGAACUGCUGGAGGGUUGCUGGCAUGUCACUGUGAUCAGUGGAAGGAGGAGGACGCACUGAGCCUGGUGUGGAAGCAAGGAGUAAUGCCAAAGCAUCUGCUCCAGGAAGUCAGAGGCCACAGACAGAGAAAUCUGGUUUUAAUUUUUUUUAGCUAAGAAGUUUUAGAAAAUAAUUUGCUUCAUUUUCUUGAUGUGAUGCCUGAAGGAAAAAUAAUAAUAAAACAAAAUGGGAGGAGGGAAGGUUAUCUGCCAAAUGACAUUUUUUUCCUAUUCUUUCUGCUUCUAUUCCUAGAAAAGAGAAAUUGAAAACUGCAGGGAAAGUGUUGAUGGACAUCAUGGUGCAAAAGCACACUGGAGCAUUCACCUGAUGGCAGGAAAGCAAAAGAGAGAAAGAAGAAGGGGCAGGGGUCCACAAUCCCUUUCAGAUGCAUACCUCAGUGACCAGAAGACCUCCCGCUAAGCCCCACUUCUUUCAGGCUCCACAACCUCCCAGAAAGCACCAACACGGGGACUGAAACUUUAAUACAGGGACCUUGGGGAGAUAUUCCAGAUCCAAAACCUAGGACGAAUGCACAUCCUAAAGCUUCUCUGAAGAUUGUGUUUUCAAAGAAGAAAAAUGAGGUCAUGCUAAAAUCCAGUAAUAGUCCUUUCCUUGAAAACUUCUUGAAUAAUAGGAAAUGAUUUGGUGAUUGGGUCUGUGUAUGGCCCAACCUCAAUGAAAAUAGGGCAAAGAGAACAGAAGACCCCUUUGCGAGGAGAAUAGCCCAAUGCUGACCUGCCUGCCACCCCACUUGGCAUGGUGAUUUCUUAAGCUAAUGUGUGGGGGAAAAAUGGUUCACACAGCUUUACAUUAAGGAAAGAGGAUGAAGAGUCAUACAAAUGGACACUGUCUCCCAUCUCCACAGCACUUCCUGGCUGGUGCCAGGACAGGAGAGUGCUGCCAGCAUGGCUCCUCGUCAGCACCUGUCUCCAUUCCUGCCACCAAUUCUUUAUGUGCUUUCUAAGAGCCAACUGUCUUUCACCCAACACUUGAUGAUGCCACUCUCGUUUGUUAUUUUUAUUAAAUAGUUUAAUGUUUUGUAAACUGACYGUAUGACAGUAGAUGAAGUAUGUGUAUGAGAAAUGUUUUUGUGAAAAUUGUAUUGUCUAAUUUAAGAUACCAAUGAUUUAAGGCAGAUCACUCUUUGAUAUAUUAUUUAGAAAGAAAAAAAAUAAGGAAACCAUGAUAAGACACUGAUUGUGAAAACAUUCCAGAGAAUUUAAAUGUGAAAUAAAAUGCAUCUUAAGAAUGAUCAUAGAUGAUAAGUUAGAUCUUUUGGAAAAACUAGGAAGAAAGAUAAUUACUGGAUUCAAAGCAAAUAUACAGUUGAGUAUUCACAUAUACUAGAGUACACAACUAAACCUCUGGAUACAUAUUCAAGAGGAAUUCUUAUAUAUGCAUAAUAGGGGACACAUACAAGAAUGUUCUUAGCAUACCGUUCAUGAUAAAAACGGUAUGGAACCAAUCCAAUGUCAAUAAAGAGGAAAGAGGAUGCACAAAAUAUGGCAUAUUCACAGAAUAGAACAUUUCACAGCAGUCCAAACAGCAAUGACA